rnacentral:rRNA from 1 species
GAGAAAGUAAGCAAGGGCAGACGGUGGAUGCCUUGGCUCUCGGAGGCGACGAAGGACGUGAUAAGCUGCGAAAAGCUCGGGGGAGGCGCAAAUAGCCCUUGAUCCCGGGAUAUCCGAAUGGGGCAACCCGGCAGGCUGAAGGCCUGCCAUCCCGUAAGGGAGGCGAACGUGGGGAACUGAAACAUCUAAGUACCCAUAGGAGGAGAAAAUAAACAAUGAUUCCGUAAGUAGUGGCGAGCGAACACGGAAGAGCCCAAACCCGUGGCGUCUAGGCGACACGGGGGUUGUAGGACCACGACGUGGCAAGAUAGAGUCAAGUGGAACGCCUUGGAAAAGGCGACCGUAGAGGGUGAUAGUCCCGUACACGACUGACGAUUGAAGCCUAGUGGUAUCCUGAGUAGCGCGGGGCACGAGAAAUCUUGCGUGAAACUGCGGGGCCCAUCCCGUAAGGCUAAAUACUCCCGAGAGACCGAUAGCGAACCAGUACCGUGAGGGAAAGGUGAAAAGAACCCCGAGCAGGGGAGUGAAAUAGACCCUGAACCCGUCUGCCUACAAGCGGUCGGAGCAUUGUCAAGAUGUGACGGCGUGCCUUUUGCAUAAUGAACCUACGAGUUACCUUCCCCGGCAAGGUUAAGUACCUAAGGUACGGAGCCGAAGCGAAAGCGAGUCUGAAGAGGGCGGCCAGUCGGGGGGGGUAGACGCGAAACCGAGUGAUCUACCCUUGGCCAGGUUGAAGGUUGGGUAACACCAACUGGAGGACCGGAUGGGUAAGCGUUGAAAAGCUUUCCAAUGAGCUGAGGGUAGGGGUGAAAGGCUAAUCAAACUCGGAGAUAGCUCGUACUCCCCGAAAUGCAUUUAGGUGCAGCCUCUUUAUAGUAUAUCGUGAGGUAGAGCGACUGAUUGGAUGCGAGGGCUUCACCGCCUAUCAAGUCCAGAUAAACUCCGAAUGCGCGAUAUAUAUUUAAAGGGAGUGAGGGCGCGGGUGCUAAGGUCCGUGUCCGAGAGGAGAAGAAUCCAGACCACCGGCUAAGGCCCCCAAAUGAUCGUUGAGUUGAACUAACGAGGUCGGAUCGCAGAGACAGCUAGGAUGUUGGCUUGGAAGCAGCCAUUCAUUUAAAGAGUGCGUAACAGCUCACUAGUCGAGCGAUCUGGCGUGGAUAAUAAUCGGGCAUAAACGAUCUGCCGAAGCCGUGGAUGUCGCAAGACAUGGUAGGGGAGCAUUCCAUGCGGCGUCGAAGAUGAGGGAUGACCCUUGUUGGAGCGCAUGGAAAAGCAAAUGUAGGUAUGAGUAACGAUAAGGGGGGCGAGAAACCCCCCCGCCGAAAGACCAAGGUUUCCUGAUCAACGCUAAUCGGAUCAGGGUGAGUCGGGACCUAAGGCUAAGCCGAACGGCGACGCCGAUGGAAGAAUGGGUUAAUAUUCCCAUACUGCCUCAUGGAGUGACGUGGAGACGGAGAAGUGACAGUCCUGCC